AACGAACGCUGGCGGCAUGCUUAACACAUGCAAGUCGAACGCGAACGGGUUCUUCGGGACCUUAGUAGAGUGGCGCACGGGUGAGUAACGCGUAAGUUAUCUACCUCGGCAUCUGGAAUAACUCACCGAAAGGUGUGCUAAUACCGGAUACGUUGAGUAAUCAAUAAAGGUGGCCUCUCUUUGAUGCUACCGUGCUGAGAUGAGCUUGCGUACCAUUAGCUAGUUGGUGGGGUAAUGGCCUACCAAGGCGACGAGGGUUAGCGGGUCUGAGAGGAUGAUCCGCCACACUGGAACGGGAACACGGACCAGACUCCUACGGGAGGCAGCAGUGAGGAAUAUUGCGCAAUGGGGGCAACCCUGACGCAGCGACGCCGCGUGGAUGAUGAAGGCCUUCGGGUCGUAAAUCCUGUCAGGUGGAAAGAAAUGUAUAUGUGCUAAUACCAUGUAUACUUGACGGUACCACCGAAGGAAGCACCGGCUAACUCCGUGCCAGCAGCCGCAGUAA
rnacentral:rRNA from 1 species